AUUGGCCCUUGACCAGCCUGAUUGGUUGCAGGAGGGGACCAAUCAGAGGUACCUCCCAUUUUUCAUCUGCAGCCCAAUGCAAAGUAAUGACAUGGAUCUGGAGAGAUUCUCUUAGGAGAGAAUCUGGCUAAGUGUCUAGCAGGAUGAUUGAUUAACAAGAUGUUUUGUUUUCAUCAUCUCAGAGAUAAGUACAACUAUUCUGUCAUCUAAUCUGCUAACUCCUACAUUAUCAAUACGCUGUAUUGAGGUAUAAUUGAUAUGCCAAAUAACUGGACACAUUCAACUUGUGCAAUUUGAUGAGUUUGGAGAUACACAUACAUCUGUGAAACCAUCACCAAAAUCAAGAACAACUUUCUCUGAUCUCUGUGGACAUGCUUAAAAUGGCUGACUCACACAGCAAGACUAUUUAACUGUGCCUAAAAUCAACCCACAUUCAGAUGCUAACUGUAAUCCUAUUCCCUGAUCCAUCAGGAAAAAGAGUCUGAUUGACAUAACUUGUCAAGUGUUCGCCCCAGCUUCUAUCAACUAUGGGGAAGGAAGGGCCAGAAGAGGUGUAACCAUCAUGGCUACCAGAGUACAUGGUUUCCAGGCCAAAUACCACAGUGUUCCAGGCAAGGAUGUGGUCAGUUUCCUUCUCUGCUGGAUCCCAAAGCCCAGGGCAGCUCUUGCACAUAGAUCGUUGUCAUUGGAUUUAAGAGGGCCUACCCUGAUAAUACAGGAUAAACUCCUUCUCCCAAAACCUUUUCUUCUCUCAGAAUCUUUUGGCAGCAAACACAUUCAAGCAUCUUCUAUGUGCCAAGAACUUGCUGGAAAACAUCACAAAAGUUAAUAUUUUCUGGAGAUCAAGGAAUGAAACUCAGCCCUCUGCAAAUGGAACACAAACGCCUGGUACAUGGAUGCUACAAUGAAAAGAAUAUGGGUGCUGAAAUCAGAGAGAAUCAUCCAAGAUGAUCCUUAUGCAUGCUGAACUCUGAGAGCCACCAGUGAAGAAGAUAAGUGACCCAUCUACCUGUAGCUGGAAAAUAAAGGCUCUUUGGGAUUCUUUCCCAUGAGUCUUCAUUUCACCAUAUUGGUGAGAGAAGGCAUUCAGGCCCAAUAAUUAACUGAACAUUAGCUGUGUACCAGACACUGUGGUCGACAUUGAGAUAUAACGGAUUUAAGAAAGUCUUUGUGGCUGUGGUGGCUUCAAAUCACUCCCGAGGCUUUAGAAGAAUAUAAUUGCCGUUCUAAGAAGAAUCUGAGGCCUCUAGGAGAUCUGCCAGUAGUGGCCCCAAUGUAUAACAGCACUAGCUCAGUGAAGAGAGAGAGAAAAGAUCUGAAGAGAGUGGUUGCAGUUUGAGCUCUGUCAAUGGGACAGUCCUGGGCAGGAGACUGGGGAGAAGAGGCGGCUUGCUGGUUUUCCUGAACCACUUCCACCCUGAAAGACUCCUUGCAUACAAUCAUCAGAGAAGAACCGUGGGAACCAAGAACCAUGAGCAGGAGAACCAUGAGCACACUGUUCGCAAUGGCCAAGAUUUGGAGGCAACCUAAGUGUCCAUCGACAGACAAAUGGUUAAAGAAAAUGAGGAAGGAAUAUCAAGAAAAUAGACUACAAAUAAAUGUCUUUUAUUUCUACUUCUUCAAUAUAUAUUAUAACAUUCUUCUUGCCAACUGAUCUUCUUGCCUCCAAUUUGACCCCUCUGAUCCACCAAGUAUUGCAUACUACCGUGUUUUGAGACAUAGGAGGAGGAAAAAACCAUGGCUGCGGAGGUGAUUUAAUAUCCUGUUGACUCUGAAGAAAAAUACACUUCUUCAUUAUAAGAGUUUUAUUGCCAAUGACUAGAAGGAAAUGUAAAGGGGACAACACAAGAUGACUAACACAGGAAGUUAUAAAACUCACAGCUCUAACUGUCAUGGCCCUGGGCCCAUGGUGCCUGAAUCCCUCUGGGAGUAUUAAAUGGAAGGCCCCCUGGUACCUGAAUUUUGUUUUAGUUUUCUCUCUCCAUCUCUGUGAUUACACAUAAAAUCAGCCAAGCACCUGCUCCCCUCCAGCCUAGAUAACACAUACCUCCAUGCUAUAAAGGGACAAUUUGACCAAGAGACACCCACCUCACCUGACCACAGAGCUGGAAAAUCUACUAUGUCAGACUUCCAUGCAACCGCUGGUGGGAGAAAGUUUUCACGAGUCUCUCUGGGCCCUUAUCCCUCUCCCCUGUAUUCCCAUCCUUAUCCAAAUCCACAUUUCACCAAACUCCCUAACGCUAAGCAGCUGUUGAAGUUCAGAUCACAGUCUCUGAGGAGCUCCUGGUUUCCCAUGGAAUGUGAUUUGCCUCAUCAUCUUACAGCCUGCCUCCACUUUGCUUUCUUAUCAUUUCAGAGGCUU
rnacentral:lncRNA from 1 species